AUUUAUAAAGUUUGUAAAACAUUUCACUUUCAUUGAAAAGAGAGGGAGAACCUUGUAAAUA
rnacentral:tRNA from 1 species